rnacentral:rRNA from 1 species
GAUGAACGCUGGCGGCGUGCCUAAUACAUGCAAGUCGAGCGAACAGACGAGGAGCUUGCUCCUCUGACGUUAGCGGCGGACGGGUGAGUAACACGUGGGUAACCUACCUAUAAGACUGGGAUAACUUCGGGAAACCGGAGCUAAUACCGGAUAAUAUAUUGAACCGCAUGGUUCAAUAGUGAAAGACGGUUUUGCUGUCACUUAUAGAUGGAUCCGUGCCGCAUUAGCUAGUGGGUAAGGUAACGGCUUACCAAGGCAACGAUGCGUAGCCGACCUGGGAGGGUGAUCGGCCACACUGGAACUGAGACACGGUCCAGACUCCUACGGGAGGCAGCAGUAGGGAAUCUUGCGCAAUGGGCGAAAGCCUGACGGAGCAACGCCGCGUGUAUGAUGAAGGUCUUCGGAUCGUAAAACUCUGUCAGUAGGGAAGAACAAAUGUGUAAGUAACUAUGCACGUCUUGACGGUACCUAAUCAGAAAGCCACGGCUAACUACGUG